rnacentral:lncRNA from 1 species
CUGCGCUCCCGGCGGCCUCGGGGACAGCGGGCGGGUGGGGCCGGUGAUGCCCGGAGCGGGGCGCCGGCAACCGCUGCCCGCUCGGUGAGGCGGGACGGAACGCGUGUGGAAGAAAAGUGGCUUACUGUUGCCCCCACCUGGAAGAUAAUCGGAGGUCUGCGCUGGCGUUGGGAGCGGAGCGGCAUCGCGAUGCUGUAUGCGUUGCCUAUUUUUCUUGUUAUGAAGUUGACCGGUGCACAUAGAAGCUGUAACAGAAGCGUAUUAUCUUAAAGAGACUGAGCCGAAGUAUCCCUCCUUGUACCGAGUACGGCUUUGUUACAGUCCUAUUAGAAGGCCGCCGAGUCCUCUAUUGGUUGCUUAAAAUAAGCUUUAUUAUUUAAUUCUUUUAAAUUCUCAUUUAAUGUGGGAGACUGAACCGCUGCAUUGCACUCUUAAUUUGUGGGUGACGAUUUAAUUCAUGGAGCUCUGAGCUAAAAGACUCCCGUGAUAGAGAGCAGCGUUCCGCUGGCCACUGAGCUCAGCUUUUAUACAGCGAGAGAGACCCGCGUUAACAUACAGCCUUUCAGCAUCGCUGUAGAGGUGGAAUACAGCAGCGCGCUGCGAGCUGAUGGCUCACCUGUGGUCCAGGCAGCUGCCGUGAGGCGGUGGCUUUUCCCCUCGUGGGGAGUUUCUCUUCUGCCUGAGAAGUUUCCAUAGAGGUCAGCAGGAAACGUGCAGGGAUGUGUUGGAGAUGUGAUGAGACGCUCAUAACGUGGUGCAAAAUGUAGUGCCGUACGGCUGGUCCUGUAGUAUAUCCAGGAGAGCACUCUGUAUAGACCCUAUUCUGUGUUGCGGGAUAAUUCAUUUGGUGCCUGAAUUUUUUUAACUUAAUUAGUUGUUAUAACCUAACGACGUCGGGAAUAAGGCAGUGCUUCUUAUUCCGUGUUUCUACACAGUACUGUAUUGGAAUGAGGUAGUUGCUGUUGUGCUUAAACUCAAGAACUUUAACGGUGAUCUUUUAAUCUGUGUGUUGCAAGCUGUGUGCAUGACUUCUGACACGUAUCCUCAUAGCCCUUUAUCGGCCACUCCUAUUUAUCACACGCGCAAAGGAAUUUACUCUGUAGAAACGUAAAGGCAGCAAGUGGAGAUGUGUGCUGUGUUUUAGGACUGCACGAGUGACGUGUGCCGUGCGUUGUCUUCGUUAUCACAAAGCUGUGAAAAACACCCCCUCGCAAAGAAAGAGAACCAAAAAGGCGCAGUUUGUGGAAGUAGCCCAUGGCUUUCGUGUCGCUUAAGUUGAUUUACCCGAUCCACACCAGCCUUUUAAAGUCGUAUUUAAUAAUAGAGAGGCCCUGAGGAGGUAAAUCCCUGCGCUGAGUUCUGGCUCUGCUGUGGGCUGUGUGUUUUAGAGCAGUGUUCAGACGUGGAGCCCUUUGUUGGCCGUGCAGAGCUGAGCCUCCAGCGGCAGGCCUGCCUGCGAGCCCCUCACUGCAGCAGUAGUUGUGGAUGUUCUGCACCAAAGAAAACCACGAGACUUUUAUUUCAGCAUCUAAAUGGCAAUUCAGAUGCUCGACUUCAGGUACAAAUGUUCAAAAAUGUUGGCCUUAACCUCUCUGUUUUCAGUUACCGCAUCUGUAAAGUUUGAUAGCAGUGUGACCUACCUCACGGGCAAGAUGUGAGGCUUUAUUUAUUGACGUUUUUAAGCAAUUGGAGAUCCUUGAAGAGGAGGUGCUAUAGAGGUGGAAGUAUUAUUAUAAAUGAUACCGCAGUAAGAAUAAAUAUAUGUAAAUUAAUGGACGUAAACAGCCGCAAUGUUUUCUAAGAAAAAUAAACAUAUGAAAUAUGUACGUGUGUGCAUCAUAUGCACCAAUUUCUGGUUUCCCUGCUCGUGCUUCUGCUAAUGCAGCGCGUUUCGGUGUCCUCACUCGGCCAGGUGAGCUCCGGUGACCGCAGCUCAGGUCGGCCCACCCAGCAGCCGCUGCCC